rnacentral:rRNA from 1 species
GUACACUCCUACGGGAGGCAGCAGUGGGGAAUUUUGGACAAUGGGCGAAAGCCUGAUCCAGCAAUGCCGCGUGAGUGAAGAAGGCCUUCGGGUUGUAAAGCUCUUUUGUCAGGGAAGAAACGGUGAAAGCUAAUAUCUUUUGCUAAUGACGGUACCUGAAGAAUAAGCACCGGCUAACUACGUGCCAGCAGCCGCGGUAAUACGUAGGGUGCAAGCGUUAAUCGGAAUUACUGGGCGUAAAGCGUGCGCAGGCGGUUUUGUAAGUCUGAUGUGAAAUCCCCGGGCUCAACCUGGGAAUUGCAUUGGAGACUGCAAGGCUAGAAUCUGGCAGAAGGGGGUAGAAUUCCACGUGUAGCAGUGAAAUGCGUAGAUAUGUGGAGGAACACCGAUGGCGAAGGCAGCCCCCUGGGUCAAGAUUGACGCUCAUGCACGAAAGCGUGGGGAGCAAACAGGAUUAGAAACCGGGUAGUCCCAU